GAUGAACGCUAGCUACAGGCUUAACACAUGCAAGUCGCAGGGUAACAUGAGGAAAGCUUGCUUUCCUUGAUGACGACUGGCGCGCGGGUGAGUAACGCGUAUCCAACCUUCCCAUAACUACGGGAUAACCCGUUGAAAGACGGCCUAAUACCGUAUGAUAUCGUUUGCUGACAUCAAAUAACGAUUAAAGGUUUAGCGGUUAUGGAUGGGGAUGCGUCUGAUUAGCUUGUUGGCGGGGUAACGGCCCACCAAGGCGACGAUCAGUAGGGGUUCUGAGAGGAAGGUCCCCCACAUUGGAACUGAGACACGGUCCAAACUCCUACGGGAGGCAGCAGUGAGGAAUAUUGGUCAAUGGGCGAGAGCCUGAACCAGCCAAGUAGCGUGCAGGACGACGGCCCUAUGGGUUGUAAACUGCUUUUAUGUGGGGAUAAAGUGCGUGACGUGUCAUGCAUUGCAGGUACCACAUGAAUAAGGACCGGCUAAUUCCGUG
rnacentral:rRNA from 1 species